AUUGAACGCUGGCGGCAUGCCUUACACAUGCAAGUCGAACGGCAGCACGGGGCAACCUGGUGGCGAGUGGCGAACGGGUGAGUAAUGCAUCGGAACGUACCUUUCAGUGGGGGACAACGUAGCGAAAGUUACGCUAAUACCGCAUAUUCUGUGAGCAGGAAAGCAGGGGAUCGCAAGACCUUGCGCUGAUUGAGCGGCCGAUGUCAGAUUAGCUAGUUGGUGAGGUAAAGGCUCACCAAGGAGACGAUCUGUAGCGGGUCUGAGAGGAUGAUUCGCCACACUGGAACUGAGACACGGUCCAGACUCCUACGGGAGGCAGCAGUGGGGAAUUUUGGACAAUGGGGGCAACCCUGAUCCAGCCAUGCCGCGUGAGUGAAGAAGGCCUUCGGGUUGUAAAGCUCUUUCGGCCGGGAAGAAAUCGCACGGGCUAAUACCCUGUGUGGAUGACGGUACCGGAAUAAGAAGCACCGGCUAACUACGUGCCAGCAGCCGCAGUAA
rnacentral:rRNA from 1 species